UACGGGGGGAGCAAGCGUUGUUCGGAUUUACUGGGCGUAAAGGGCGCGUAGGCGGCGUGACAAGUCACUUGUGAAAUCUCCGGGCUUAACUCGGAACGGUCAAGUGAUACUGUCGUGCUAGAGUACAGAAGGGGCAACUGGAAUUCUCGGUGUAGCGGUGAAAUGCGUAGAUAUCGAGAGGAACACCUGCGGCGAAGGCGGGUUGCUGGGCUGAUACUGACGCUGAGGCGCGAAAGCCAGGGGAGCAAACGGG
rnacentral:rRNA from 1 species